GUCCAGACUCCUACGGGAGGCAGCAGUGGGGAAUAUUGCACAAUGGGGGAAACCCUGAUGCAGCGACGCCGCGUGAAGGAAGAAGUAUCUCGGUAUGUAAACUUCUAUCAGCAGGGAAGAAAACAGACGGUACCUGACUAAGAAGCCCCGGCUAACUACGUGCCAGCAGCCGCGGUAAUACGUAGGGGGCGAGCGUUAUCCGGAUUCACUGGGUGUAAAGGGAGCGUAGACGGCCAUGCAAGCCAGGGGUGAAAGCCCGGGGCCCAACCCCGGGACUGCCCUUGGAACUGUGCGGCUAGAGUGCGGGAGGGGCAGGCGGAAUUCCUGGUGUAGCGGUGAAAUGCGUAGAUAUCAGGAGGAACACCGGCGGCGAAGGCGGCCUGCUGGACCGCGACUGACGUUGAGGCUCGAAAGCGUGGGGAGCGAACAGGAUUAGAUACCCCUGUAAAG
rnacentral:rRNA from 1 species